UACUGGAUGCAGACUCGCACCCAUACAGCCUCAACAAAAAAAAAAAAAGAAAAAAGUACGAUCCAAGUCGAGAGCCGAUGGCGAUUAAAUUAGUCACGGCGCGACAAGGUGGCACGGGAGGGUCAAGGGGGGUCUGGAAGCAAGGGGGGCAGCAGCCAAGCCAACAUCGAAGUGGACCAACGGGUGGACAAGACCCACAGACAGACGUGAGACGACGAGUGACCAACAAAAAUAAUAAACACAUAUACAGCCAAGAAAUUCAGAAGAUAUGAAUGAAAAAUCAAGGGAAACUAACCAAGCGAUCGACUUAAUAGCUGGACAUUAGUGCCUGGCACUUCUACAAAGCUCCCGAGGAGAAAGCUCACCUUACGGCCGAAGUUCCCCCAUCAGACGGACGUGGAGCUUCUGCCCAAAAGCCCCGUACUCUUUUUCGGGAGAGAAUCAAAUGGAAUAACGAACCGAACGAGCGGACGAGGCAAACGAGGCAAUAACAAAACGCAGUCCAGCCAGUUGCUAUAUUGGAGAUAUUGCUCUUCGGGGGCGGCAGAGAGCACUGCCUGAGUUGGGGUGAACUGGGGGGCGUGGUCGGUGCAAAACGUGGGGCUGCCGAUUUCUACGGCUGAUGCAACACACAUGUGUGCAUGCACUACGGGCACACACAUGGAGCGCAGGAUGUGAGUGUGUUUGUGAGCUAGCAGCACAAAAUCAAAGCCAGUUGACACACACACACUGGCACACUAACACCAAUACUGGCUUAUCAAGCGCAACGCAAUAGCAACUGCCGCGCACAGUGGACAGAAUAGACGAGAGAUGUUGAUAAGCAGUAUUAUUAUAACUAGUAUAACUAUAUAAAACUAAAAAAUUAUGAAUUAUAAUUAAAAAAAUAAACUUCAGAAAACAUAGAAUUUCUAA